rnacentral:rRNA from 1 species
GAUCGCUAGCACAUAGUGCCUGCUCUUGGGUCACGAAUGGCGGUCGGGUGAUAAUGUCUGGGUCCUGCCCGAUGGAGGGGGAUAACUGUGGACAUCGGUAGCUCAUCCCGCAUGACGUGUUCGGACCUAAGUGCGGGACCUUCGGGCCUCACACCAUCGGAUGCCCACAGAUGUGAUUAGCUUGUAGGUGCCUGAGCGGCUCACCUUCGUGUCGAUCCAUAUCUGGUUUGUGGGCAUGACCAGCCACUUCGGCACUGAGACGCGGUUCAGACUCAGGCGGGUGGCAUCGGUGGGGACUCUUGCGCCAUGGGCUUUAGCCUGAUGCAGGUAUGCGGCGUAUAUGUCGAUGUCCUUCGGUUUCCCCCUAUAUUCGGUGGGGUGGUAGGCGAUGGUCUUCAUUGCUUCGUUGUUUGACGGUACCCGCAUAUGUAUCCCGGGUUGACUGCGAG